UACAGAGGGUGCGAGCGUUGUUCGGAAUUAUUGGGCGUAAAGCGCUUGUAGGCGGCCUGGAAAGUCGCGUGUGAAAUCCCCUGGCUUAACCAGGGAAGUGCGCGCGAAACUUCCGGGCUUGAGUGCCGGAGAGGGUCGCGGAAUUCCCGGUGUAGAGGUGAAAUUCGUAGAUAUCGGGAGGAACACCAGUGGCGAAGGCGGCGACCUGGACGGACACUGACGCUGAGACGCGAAAGCGUGGGGAGCAAACAGG
rnacentral:rRNA from 1 species